ensembl:lncRNA
CUACUACCUCUACUACCAUUACUACUUCUACUACUACUAGUACUAUCAAUACUACUACCAUUACCUCUUUUACCAUUACUACCAUUACCACUACUACCUUUACUACUACUAUCAGUACUUCUAAUACUACCAUUACUACUACUACUACUACUAUCAGUACUACUACAAUUACUACCACUACUACUACUACCAUUACUACUUCUACUACUAAUAUCACUACCAUUACUACUACUAUCACUACCAUUACUACUAAUAUUACUACACUACCAUUACUAUCACUACCAUUACUACUAAUAUUACUACACUACCAUUACUAUCACUACUAUCACUACCAUUUCUACUAAUAUCACACCACAUUUCCUUCAGGAAAAGUCCUUUCGUAGUUAUUUAUUUAAUGUAUUGUUUUUUCGCAGGGGUCAGCACAACCAGAGUGUAAUGGCCAAGCCUCGCCUUGGGUGGACCUCUUUUGUGAUGAAGGUGUCUCCCCUGCCAGAUAAAUAUAAACGCACACGUUGAUGUCAAUGCAUUAGUGAAAGCCAGUUCAUUGAUGGAGUUGAAAUUAAGUUACAAAGUCACGCAGUAAAGGAGGAUGGUUAGAGGCGUCGUGUUCUGGUCUCUCUCUCUGGUUAGAGGAGUAGUGUUCUGGUCUCUCUCUCUGGUUAGAGAAGUAGUGUUCUGGUCUCUCUCUCUGGUUAGAGGAGUAGUGUUCUGGUCUCUCUCUCUGGUUAGAGGAGUAGUGUUCUGUUCUCUCUUCCCAGUAAAACUCUGGUUAGAGGAGAGAGUGUUCUGGUCUCUCUCUCUCUGGUUAGAGGAGUAG